GGGAGGGUUUCAAAGGGAGCGCACUUCCGCUGCCCUUUCUUUCGCCAGCCUUACGGGCCCGAACCCUCGUGUGAAGGGUGCAGUACCUAAGCCGGAGCGGGGUAGAGGCGGGCCGGCACCCCCUUCUGACCUCCAGUGCCGCCGGCCUCAAGAUCAGACAUGGCCCAGAACUUGAAGGACUUGGCGGGACGGCUGCCCGCCGGGCCCCGGGGCAUGGGCACGGCCCUGAAGCUGUUGCUGGGGGCCGGCGCCGUGGCCUACGGUGUGCGCGAAUCUGUGUUCACCGUGGAAGGCGGGCACAGAGCCAUCUUCUUCAAUCGGAUCGGUGGAGUGCAGCAGGACACUAUCCUGGCCGAGGGCCUUCACUUCAGGUAAUGGCGGGCAGAGCCUGCUGACCCUGACCUUUCACCCUUGACGCCGACCCAGCAGUGGCUAUAGUCGGACGUGCAACAGGAUUCAACGCUGCUCUUUUCCCACCCUCCUCAUCCCUGCCCCUAGGAUAGUGGGUGCUGCGAGAACCUCCAGCAGCAUACAAACUGUUGUUUUCCAGAGGGACAAGAGAAUCUCUCCUUGUCUGUGGUCGUGGAGAGGAGCAGGCCAAAAAACGCGUGGUGAGGGGAAACCGGGCAAGGCUAGUGA
rnacentral:lncRNA from 1 species